AGGCUGCUGUCGCGGUGAUGCAUCUGCAAGCCGAGACCCGGCGAAGGUUGCCAGCAAGCCAGCGGAUGUGGGGGAGAGGCCCGGGACAGGUCUUCCCUCACAGCCUGUAGAAGCCAACACUGCCAACACCUGACUUCACACUCAGCCUCCAGAACGGAUUUACCAAAUAUCAUAUCUACCAUUGUUUAAAGCUGUACCAUGUGCCAGGCCCUUUGCACAUACCGUCUCCUCACAGACACACAAGGACACAGGCUCGCUUUAGACCAGCCUUGUCUGCUAGCCCAGCUGUUUGUCAAUA